rnacentral:lncRNA from 1 species
GACGGGGUAUUGAGAUCUUAUGGUUUUAGCGCCCAUACCGGACGGGGUAUGGGGAUGGCCCGUUUCACCCUCAUACCGGACGGGGUAUUGAGGUUUAUGGUUUUGGCGCCCAUACCGGACGGGGUAUGGGGACGGCCCGUUUCACCCUCAUACCGGACGGGGUAUUGAGGUUCAUGGUUUUGGCGCCCAUACCGAACGGGGUAUGGGGACGGCCCUGGAAACUGAUUAUGAAUGUUAAAGGUUAACGGGUAGCGGAACCCCUAUGGACCCCCACGGAUACUAGUAGGCUGGUAAAUGAGAAAAAGAUAUGUUGUACAAUGAUUGAAUUACAAGAGGCGUGAUAAGUGUUAUGUUUUACAGCUUAUAUUAUUCCAUGAUUAUGAUAAUGUUAUUGUUUUCUUAUAUUGUUUUUCAUAAAUUCCACCGAGGUAAGUGGAUGGAAAAGGUUUUUAUGUUAAUAAGCUGUUUUGUUGUAAAUUAUGCUCCAUUGGUCUUUUUGUGUUUUCUACCCACCUUUACCUCCGUGACGGUGAGAUAACGUGAUGUUCUUACUGGGCUAGUGUAGCUCACUCCUUAUUUAACCAUUUCAGAUCAGGAA